AUUGAACGCUGGCGGCAGGCCUAACACAUGCAAGUCGAACGGCAGCACAGAAGAGCUUGCUCUUUGGGUGGCGAGUGGCGGACGGGUGAGUAAUGUCUGGGAAACUGCCCGAUGGAGGGGGAUAACUACUGGAAACGGUAGCUAAUACCGCAUAACGUCGCGAGACCAAAGUGGGGGACCUUCGGGCCUCACACCAUCGGAUGUGCCCAGAUGGGAUUAGCUAGUAGGUGGGGUAAUGGCUCACCUAGGCGACGAUCCCUAGCUGGUCUGAGAGGAUGACCAGCCACACUGGAACUGAGACACGGUCCAGACUCCUACGGGAGGCAGCAGUGGGGAAUAUUGCACAAUGGGCGCAAGCCUGAUGCAGCCAUGCCGCGUGUAUGAAGAAGGCCUUCGGGUUGUAAAGUACUUUCAGCGGGGAGGAAGGCGGUGAGGUUAAUAACCUCGCCGAUUGACGUUACCCGCAGAAGAAGCACCGGCUAACUCCGUGCCAGCAGCCGCAGUAA
rnacentral:rRNA from 1 species